CGCUGCCCCUCACUUGGCUGCAACUGGACCCAGAACUAGGGAAGAGGCCAGGGACAGAUUUUUUUUUUUUAUUUUUAUUUUUUUUGCCGAGGGACGUUUCAAAAUUUUGCACGGCCAGGGUGACAAAAAGAGGAUUUAAGAGCCACAAGCGGUCCGCACAUGACCCAGACUUCGUUCCUGUGCGGCUUCCAGAGGUGUUCAUGCAGAAGACUGGAUGCAGGACCCUUGGUGGCACCAGUGUGCAGAUGAGCAGAUAGUGACUGAUUGCCACUGGGAUGAAAUUUUUAAAAAAGAACCUUGAAGUCUGUGAGUGACCAAUCAAAGAUGAAAAUUAAUAAUGGAAGACCUGGGAUAUACAAUCAAGUCUAAAGCCUAGAUAUCUGGUUAUUUUAGAAAAGCUUCAUAGGCAAGUGUCAGUGGAGCUGUGUUAUUUGAGCUGAGCUGCACCUUGAAGAACCAAAAAAAUUAUAAAUGGACAAAUAAGACCAAGUGCCUACACCAAAAGAAUUCUAAUGCUUAGAAGAGUUGCAGAAUAAAAUAUGUUGCAUGGGAUGUCAAUAGUAAAGGUCAAGAUAGAGGACAAAGAAACACAGAGGAAGGAGGUUAAUGGAAUGAGAGAAGAAAGUAUUUUUAGAGGAAGUUGAUAUUUCACCUGAGUUGUAAAAGGCUAUAACAAAAUAUAAUAAACUGGGUACCUUAGAAGCAACGGAAAUUGAUUUCUCAUCGUUCUAGAAGCUAGGAAGUUCACGAUCAAGGUAGCAGCAGAGUUGGUGCCUGCUCUGGAGGCUGGAAAUCCAACAACAGAGUGCCAGCAUGAUCAGGUUCUGGAGAGGACCCUCUUCCUGUUUGCAGACUGCUGACUUCUUAUUGUAUAUUCCAAUGGUAGAAAGAGAGCAAGAGAACUCUCUGGAGUCUUUUUUUUAUAAGGGUGCUAACCCCAUUUAAGGAGGUUUCCCCUCAUAAUCUAAUUAUCUCUCAAAAGCCAUACCUUUCAACACCAUUGCAUUGAAGGUAUGCUCACUCUUUCACUAACCUUGAGAGACAUUGUCAGAUGUGCAUAAGGGAAGAACAUGAAGGACGACGGAUAAACUGUACACAGACACAGCACAUGGAGUCUGAGUCAUUUGUUUUCUCUGACAGAUCUUUACCAUGCUGGAUUGGAAGAGAAAAGACCAUCACUAAAGCAAAUGGAUCAAAUGGAGUUAUAAAUCAACUCUGUACUCUACAGGAUUGACUCAACUGCAGACAUCUCCAAUACACUCCCUCAUGGCUUUAUUUUUUCUGCUUAUGUGGAAAAAUAACAGUAAAUACAGUUAACUAUCCCAAGACAGAAGAGUAUUAUUAAAAAAGAAUACAACGUUAUUGAUUUUUCAAGACAUAAUCAGAUAUUUUUAAACUCUGAUUUAAUAAAACAUAAUGUAAUUUC
rnacentral:lncRNA from 1 species